UAUGAUACUUAGAAGUUGUUAAGAAAGUAACAAAGAUAUUAUACUUUGACUUUCGUUUAUAUGAUUUGUUAAUUUGAUAGUGGAGUUCUUGCAUUUGCAUGUCCUAAAUUGGGCCCAUUGUCGCACUCUCACUGAUUUCGGAAAGAACUAUAACAUUUCUGGUUUAGCAAACCAGAGUCACCCGGUUUUGGCUCCGUCUAUGUCACCACCGCCGCCGCCAGAUUCUGUUGAGCUGACGGUGUUUGGGAUCGUUAAUGAGAACGGAAGAAUGUCUGAUGAGUUCCAGAUUGGGGAUUACGACGCUGAGUCGGCGGAGACGUUGGGGAAUCCACCACGGGUAGAGUUAGUGUGAGGCAAUUCGAGAUGUGUUGGGAAAAUAUGACGGAGUACAUUCCUUGUUCGGAGAUGAGGUAUCUGUGAAGCAGAGAUGUUUUGGUUUUGAUUUUGUAAUCCCAAAUUAAGGAUAGUUUCUGAUUUUGUUUACAGGUGUGGUUCAACCAUACUAAACUUGUAGGGUGGUCAAAAUUUGGGUUUAUAAAGAGAAUGCCAAAUUCAAGUUUCCUGGUGGUGGUACUCAGUCUAGACAUGGAGCUCAUGGAUCAGAUCUCCCAGAUGAUUCCUUAUAUCAGCUAUGUUGUUCUUGACAUUGGAUGUGGUGUGUUCGUCGGAGGGAUCGACGAUGAGGACAAGCGAUGAGCUUCUCGUAUGACUUGUUGUUUGUGAAACUUUAUUGUGAUCAUAGAGUAGAAUUACAGCCAUAUGGCCUUGUGAACUUAUGGAACAGGUAAAAGAAUGAGUUGGUGUUUUGUUUGUGAGUUUGAACACUUAAUUUUAAAGGCAAGGGGAGGAGAAUAUCCUCUUUCACCUAUCAAGAUCUUAUCUAAAUUACAAAAGAUUGGGAAGAAUCUUGGCCCUGGAAAAGAAGAAGACGCACACGAGUUUUUAAGAAUGCCAGGUGUACUGUUGAGAAUAUGCAAUCUACUUUUCUCAAAGAGGCUCAUGCAGCUGGUCCGUUUGCUGAAGAACUUUAGUAGGCCUUACGUUUGGUGGAUAUCUUCACUCCAAGCAUUAACAUGGUAUCAGCGGCGUUCAAGGGAAAUCCUCAGUGAACAGGCAGAGGAUGAUUUAUAAAGCCAUAUGCGACGAGGAGCUUCAGAAUGUGGUUCAUGCCGUUGAUCAGAUGACAACAAAGACUCCUUCAGAAGUUUUAAAAGCUUACACAAGUGUGACCAAAGCUCUGAAUCUGUAUUUGGUCGAAACUUCAAUGCCAACAAUGUGUUACUUCAAUCUUGCUUCCAAUUAUCCUGGAGUAAUUGAAGAAAAUGACAGCAUAAAAAAUCAGCCAGAAGAAGAUGUUUCUGCCUUCAUUGACUAUGUCUCAGAUAGAGAUUCUCCGAGACCGGUGAGCAAGAAUGGUGGUCGGAAAUCAAAAGAAAGAAUUCCGUCAAAACACAGCAGCAACAAAGAUAGAGACAUGAAUAACAGUUUGUGGACUGGUCUGGAAGUGUAUCGUCUAUGUUUAGCUCAUCGGACACAAAAAGCUCAUGUAGCACCAGAAGACUCAUCAGGUAUUGAGAAUUUAUGAGAUUACCUGUUUGGUGGAGUUGAACCGGUUUGGAAACGGGAUGGUCAUGAUUCAUCUGCUCAAACGUUUUAUUGAGUCUGAUGACACAAUUUUUGACAUUUUCCCAAUAAGCACAAUUUUGAGUCUGAUGACCAAAUUUUGACUUUAUACCAAUAAAAAAAAAAAAAA